AUGAUCACACAGGGUAUCCAGUCACUGAUCAACUGGAGCGUUCAUAAUUACGCUGGCGACAACAUAUGGGAAUACAACAAGGCGAGAUUGUGGUCACACCUGGUUCUGGAGGACACCGGAGGACCCGUGCGGGGACAGAGGCGGCCAGAUCUCGGGGACUUUGCAUCAAACAGUCGAGAGAAAAGCGUGGCAUCCGAAAGCAGCAUCAUCCGAGCAUAGAUUUGAAGCCAGAGGUGACAACUAAUCCACGUCAAAGCCGAGCAUAAAAACACAGCAGAAAGAGCUGUUCCUAAAAACAGCGAGAACACACUCCUACACGCCGACAUCCUGCCUCAGCCUCCCAGAGUUUACGGACUACAUGUCGACAGGAGCCCAAGGAGACUCAGUCUGGGGACUUUGAAGGAAUCGUGUGGGGAAGAACGGUGCAAAUGAUACGGCGGCACCCCCUUCCCUGCCAGCCUCGCUUCAAAAAGUAAGCUUUAUGGUGUGGACUUUCUUUUACCCUAUCUUUAAUCUAGAUAAUGCUUUUAGUUGUUUCUUGAUGUACUCAAAUGGAAUUAAAGCAUUGCCCUCUGUGUUUGAACUUGUCUGUCCUUCUGCUGUUUCAUUUGUUGAUUAUUUGUUAUGUAUAUAUACCUUGCUAAUACCCUUAGAACUGCUUUAAUUCUUCGAGGCACAGAUUCAGCGAGGUGCUGGAAACAUUCCUCAGAGAUUUUGGUCCACGCUGACAUGACAGCAUCACACAGUUGCUACAAAUCUGUUGGCUGCACAUCCAUGAUGUGAAUCUCCCAUUCCACCACAUCCCAAAGGUGCUUUAUUUGCCUGAGAUCAGGUGACUGUGGAGGCCAUGAAGUGUGCCUAGAAAAUAUCCCCCAGCAUCCUGAACUGUUGAUGCAAGGCAGGAUGGAGCCAUGUUUUCAUGUUAUUCAUUCUAAAUUCUGAUUAUACCAUCCGAAUGAAUUUUGUAUUUAAAAAUCAGUGCAAAUUGUAGCCUCAGCUUCCUGUUGUCAGCUGACAGGAGUGUUACCCGGUGUGGUCUUCUGCUGCUGUAGUCCAUCUUUUUCAAGACUCGAUGUGGUGUCUGUUCAGAGAUGCUCCUUCGUGUAUAUUGGUGGUAAGAGUGGUUAUUUGAGACACUGUUGCUUUUCUGCUCAGACCUCUGACCUGACGACGGCUUUUUUGUCCCAAGAACAAAAUGCUUACACAAGUCUGUCUGGCACCAGCAUCUAUAGAUAGAUAGAUAGACACAUACGUAGAUGUAUACGUACAUUACAGAAGAGAAACGGGCACAUUUUUCUCCUUUUAUUAAACAGAACUGUUUUUUUUUAUCCAUGGUCAGAGGAGCUCUACCUUAAGCUGUUCUAGGUUUUUCUUUUUUCUCAGUGAAACUGAAGCUUGGCAUUGAGGCUCAAACUUAAUGUAAUAUAUUUUAACCCCAUCUAAUGUGAUUCUAACUCAAUGGACCUUUGUAUUGGAGCAACAUUUCAAAAGCAUUUGCCUACAACAGACUCACUUUCAUAAAUUGAACAAAAUUACUUCUUGUGACUGUCCCUGACUGUGAUUUUCUUUCAUCCUUUACUUCCAUGGAAAAAAAAAAAAAAACCCACUCUGGUUCGACUAAGUGUUGAUAUUUAUUGAAUUUGAAGCCACAGCAACAAACCGAGUCAGAGGAACACCUUUACUGCACUACCUCUUUCUCAAAUGGUGGGAGUAAUUAAAUAAGACAUAAAUGCAGCCAUUAAACAAACUAACACUUAUCAACAGUUAAACAGUGAGCAAUAAAGCUCGAUUAUCCCCCUCAUUUUCUCGUUUUGGGCAUGAGGCCAAACAAAGCAAUCAGUAAAGGUCUCUCUAAAAGCCAGCACCCAUUAGCAAAAUAUACUAACUUGCUACCUUUGGUCAAUGCUCUGAAGUGAGCUGCCUCUCGCGAAAGUGGAACGCCAACAUAUAAUUUUCAUGGAUAUAGCUUCUAAAUUAAGAAUAACACAAUACCCUUUGUGUUUCUAACUCAGUCUGACCGGAUUUUGUGGGGGUGAAAACGAGGUCGCGUGGAGUCAUAAAAGAGUGAAAAGUUUCGAAAAAACUGUGCAAGGCAUCUCGGGAUUCAAAGCAACUUUUGCUUAAGAUCCGAACACUCCCACAGCUGAUAUUUCAUGCAGCAGAAACCCACACACACACUGAGAAGUCAAAGCGAAGUGUACACUGCACAGGAUCUUUUCCGGGCCCCGGAGGCGGCCUGUAUCUAUUUAUCCACUCUAAUUUCUCAUAUGGUGAAGGAUAAACUCAAACUACUUCAAGUGUGACAACACAAAAUCGUAUUUAUUAAGAGAAGCCUGCUUACUUAUACUAGUUGUUUUAAUCCACCACUGCAAUUUAGUCUCACAAGACAAUGUUAGAUGCAUUUAAUGGCUCUGUAAUUAAUUUACUGCGUAGCAUGGCUGCUGUAAUUUUCUUUGGAUGAAGUUUUAUUACGCAAAAGUGGAUUGGUAUUUGCCAACAUAUAUUACUUAAAGGAAAAGCAAGCAUCUGUUUUGCUUCACAUCCCAGUUUGGACGAUAUAAAGACUAAUAGGCGAACCGUGCACUAACAGAAAGCGACGUGGAGAAAAAGAAAAAGAGAGCGGGAGAAAAAAAGAAAAAGCAAAGGAAUUAACUGUGCAGAAAAAGAACAAAGUCACAGAAGGGAAGAUGAAAGCAUUAUGAAAUGUAGUUGAUGUAGGCAAUUUAGGACAAGGGAUUUAAUGACAUUUGUGAAUGCGGCACAGACAGCCGACAUGGCAGCCAAACGUGAAAGGACAACACAACUGUAAAGGCAGGCAUGAUGAUGAAGCAAAAGAAAACUGGGUCUCAGUCAGCCGCUUCAUUGUUCCCACCAGAAAAAUGCGACAGGGAGAGCAAAGACGAAAACGGUGCCUGUGUCUUCUAAGCGAUACAUAGAGCUUAAACCAGCGCAGCCUCUAAUUGAGUCCUUACAUUUUGAGGACGUGCGUGUAAACAGGAGCGGCUUUUUUUUUUUUUAAGUAUUGUAUAGAGUCUGACGAAUAAAAUGUGAAAUGUGUGGCAAUGUGUAGGUGAGAAUAUGAUGAUUAAGCAAAGGAAAGGGAAAUGAGUCAUACAGUCAACAGGCAAGUAAGAAGAUGAGAUAAUGGCAGCAACAUGUUAGAAACUGACCUAUGAUCAACCCAGCCAAGGACUAUAAUAGAUGAGUUAUUCAUCAGACUUUCUGACUCAGAAUUUCUAUUUUGAUAGAUCUGAAGUAGGAUGGCAUUUUUAUUUUGAAAUGUUGAGAAGUCCAAGGACAAACUGUACUCAAUACACGAAUGUUCUCAGGCUGUAAAACCAUACUAGCCUGGGUUUUCUUCUCUUUAUUUCAACACCACAACACUAGAGUAAUGUAUUGUACUGAGGGCAUAUUGCACCUAAUUUACAUUUCCCAGAAUCAUUUCUUUGUGUUGCACUACUAUGACAUGGCUAAAUACAACAUUCACGUCCACUCAGGGCUGUAAAAAUGUUGCUGAAAAUCACCAGAUUGCCAAGCAUUUCUUCAGCUUUGCAACAACAAAAUCACAGUUCCUGCAAGAUCAUCAUCAUUUCUUCACCGCCACCAGUGUAGUUACGGCUCUGGUGACCUUAGCCUCACACCAAUAUCACCAGCGUUUGCUUGGUAGUUAAAAAAGGAAAAAUCAGUUUUAAACCAAUCUUGAGAUCAUUAAAAAUGUAACUAUUUAGGCGUACUAAUUAAUAGUUGAAUGUGAUCUUGAUACAUAGUAAGCAGGAUGUGAAAGUAACACUUACUGUAUGAAAGACUAUAAGUGAAAUAGUUUCUAAAUUUAGCUAGCUCAUGUUAGCUAAGAUCAUAACAGUGUUUAACGUCAUAAUUUGGACACAGUUUUAAAAUCAGUCCGCACUUACGCUUCAACCUGGUUUUGUGGAAUUUCAUAUCAAUUAUUAUACUUCUGUAUAAUGAUGCAAAACAAAAUACACUUCAUCUGCAAUAAUAACGAUAACACUUAAACAACUGGCUGCCAUAAACGACUUAAAGUCAGAGCAUAAAUGCAAACAAAGUAACAGUAUCUGUGUUCCAUGUAUGAACAAAGUGCAAACAACUUUUUUGCCCAUGAUAUUCAUCAAGAAACAAAAAGUAUUCAGAAUUGAAACAGAAUUGAACAAUACAAAAGAAAGAACGAUCGUAUAU
ensembl:lncRNA